AUUGUACUGGCCUAAUUAAAUAUAUCUGAAAUAAAAAUAAUGGCCAUAUUCAUGUUAUAUUAGUUUAUAGUGGUUGCACUAAUAAUUUUAAAUUAAUUUUUUUGUAGUUGAUAUGAAGAUAAGUGAUGUCCAUAACCGUAUACGGCAUGACUAACUAAAUCCGAGUGAUAAAUCAUUUUCUUUGUCUGUAGAAUCUAUUUUAGUCUCUAUGAAUUUGGGUUCUACUGGGUGUGCUGCAUUUUUAAAAGUUUAUCAAAAGAAAUGGAAGGAUGCAAACCAAGGAAACAUAAAGUUUGAGAGUAAAAAUAAAAAUUGGUUGACUCAGGACUUUAAAUCUACAUACAGUAAUAAUAUAUAUAAGCCUGAUAAUUCUAGUCAAUUACAUACGAUUGGUGAAAGACCAAGUUGUUCCUUUAAAGAUGCUUCUGACAAAACCAAAAGGAGAAGACUUAAUGAUAUUAUAAAUAAUUUUUCUAGUGAUGAGUUGCUCCACUCAGUAAGGCUUAAAUUAAGAAAUGAGUAUAAUUAUGAGGCUGCCAAGCAAGUUACUGAGAUAUCAGAACCUUCUAGUCAAUUUAAAAAGUAUACACCUGAUGAAGGUCUGGCAUUAAUUAUAGAUGGUGGCAUGUCAAAAUCAACCUACCAACUUAUGAGAAAUGGAGCUGAAGAACGUGACUGUCAUAUAUAUCCUUCAUACAACAACAUAAGAUCGUCCAAAGCUAAGUGCUAUCCAGAGAACAUCUUUGUUGAUGAUUAUUCAGCACAUGUACCACUACAAGAAUUAUUAAAACAUACAGUAAAAAAACUUUGUGAGAUGCAAGCUCCUGUGAUCAGCACAAUGCUAGAUGGUUUGACCCGGUUGACUUUGCGUUGCAAGGCUGGGUUUGAUGGGGCUACUGGGCAAAGCAUGUACGAACAAAUUAGUAGUGAGGAAGCUGGAGAUCGUAGCUUAAAAAAAGAAGAAUCUCUGUUCAUUACCUGCUUAGCACCACUAGAACUCAGUGGGUUCUGUAAUAACAAAAAAGUGCUAUUAUGGCGAAAUGAAAAGCCAUCAUCUACUGCAUAUUGUAGUCCAAUAAGAUUUUCUUUUUAAAAUGAAAGCAAAGCAGUUGUUAUAGAAGAAGCAAGAUAUUUAGAAUCUGAAAUCAAAAAAUGUGGUGUUUUUAAUUUUACUUUUAAUGGAAAGGAACUGGUUGUCAAAAGUAUUAUUGAACUGACCAUGAUUGAUGGCAAAAUUCAAACUAUUCUGUCUCAUGUGAUUAACUCAACUCAAUGUUGCUCUGUGUGUGGUGUGUCUCCAAAAAACAUGAAUAACUUAGAAAUGGUGCUGAAAUUGGACAAUUCUAAUAAUUUAGAAUUGAAAUAUGGUCUUUCUAGCCUGCAUGCCUGGAUUAGGUUUUUUGAGAUGGUAUUGCAUAUUGGAUAUAAACUAGAAACUCAAAAGUGGCAGUCUAGAGCUAUAGAAGAUAAGGAAAAUGUUAUGCAAGUGAAGAAACGUAUACAGACAGAAUUUAUGAACCAAAUGGGACUAGUUGUGGAUUUCCCAAAAAGUGGAGGAUCUGGUACCAGUAAUGAUGGUAACACUGCCCGACGAGCCUUUGCAAACUAUCAAUCAACUGCCAAAAUUUUGAAAGUAGAUGAAACUCUUUUAUUUUAUUUUUACAUCAUACUAGUCACUUUAUCAUCUGGAUUUGAAAUUGACACUGUCAAAUUUAAAGAGUUCUGUAUUACUGCUCUUAAACUUUACAUAUCUAAGUAUUCCUGGUAUUACAUGGCACAAUCAGUACACAAAAUUUUAGUUCAUGGCCAUGCCAUCAUUGCUAGACAGUACUUGCCAAUUGGACUGAUGUCAGAGGAGGCCCAAGAGGCCUGUAACAAGGAUUUUAAAAAGUUUAGGGAAGAUUUCAGUAGAAAGACUUCCAGAAUCGACACAAAUCGUGACCUAGUUAACAGGCUACUUGUAUCUAGUGAUCCUGUCAUAACAUCAUUAAGAAAGUGUCAUAAAAAAAAUGGUAAGAGUUUAAAAAAAUACCCCAGUGAAGUUUUGGCUUUGCUGAGGGAAUCAGCUCCACCUUCUUCUUUUUCUUUGUAGCUAAACACAAUUUGUUGUUUGAUUUUUAAAAAAGGUUGAUAUUGAAAAAAAUAUUUUUUUACUACCUAAGCCUAUUA
rnacentral:misc_RNA from 1 species